AUUGAACACUGGCGGAAUGCUUUACACAUGCAAGUCGAACGGCAGCACGGACUUCGGUCUGGUGGCGAGUGGCGAACGGGUGAGUAAUACAUCGGAACGUGCCCAGUCGUGGGGGAUAACGUAGCGAAAGCUACGCUAAUACCGCAUACGAUCUAAGGAUGAAAGCGGGGGAUCGCAAGACCUCGCGCGAUUGGAGCGGCCGAUGGCAGAUUAGGUAGUUGGUGGGGUAAAGGCUCACCAAGCCGACGAUCUGUAGCUGGUCUGAGAGGACGACCAGCCACACUGGGACUGAGACACGGCCCAGACUCCUACGGGAGGCAGCAGUGGGGAAUGUUGGACAAUGGGCGCAAGCCUGAUCCAGCCAUUCCGCGUGCAGGAUGAAGGCCCUCGGGUUGUAAACUGCUUUUGUACGGAACGAAAAGGCUCUGGUUAAUACCUGGGGCUCAUGACGGUACCGUAAGAAUAAGCACCGGCUAACUACGUGCCAGCCGCUGCCGUAA
rnacentral:rRNA from 1 species